UAGGGAAUCUUCGGCAAUGGACGAAAGUCUGACCGAGCAACGCCGCGUGAGUGAAGAAGGUUUUCGGAUCGUAAAACUCUGUUGUUAGAGAAGAACAAGGACGUUAGUAACUGAACGUCCCCUGACGGUAUCUAACCAGAAAGCCACGGCUAACUACGUGCCAGCAGCCGCGGUAAUACGUAGGUGGCAAGCGUUGUCCGGAUUUAUUGGGCGUAAAGCGAGCGCAGGCGGUUUCUUAAGUCUGAUGUGAAAGCCCCCGGCUCAACCGGGGAGGGUCAGUGGAAACUAGGAGACUUGUGUGCAGAAGAGGCGAGUGGAAUUCCAUGUGUAGCGGUGAAAUGCGUAGUUAUAUGGAGGAACACCAAUGGCGAAGGCGGCUCUAUGGUCUGUAACUGACGCUGAGGCUCGAAAGCGUGGGGAGCAAACAGG
rnacentral:rRNA from 1 species